AGUGAACGCUGGCGGUAGGCCUAACACAUGCAAGUCGAACGGCAGCACAGUAAGAGCUUGCUCUUACGGGUGGCGAGUGGCGGACGGGUGAGGAAUACAUCGGAAUCUACUUUUUCGUGGGGGAUAACGUAGGGAAACUUACGCUAAUACCGCAUGCGACCUACGGGUGAAAGCAGGGGAUCUUCGGACCUUGCGCGAUUGAAUGAGCCGAUGUCGGAUUAGCUAGUUGGCGGGGUAAAGGCCCACCAAGGCGACGAUCCGUAGCUGGUCUGAGAGGAUAAUCAGCCACACUGGAACUGAGACACGGUCCAGACUCCUACGGGAGGCAGCAGUGGGGAAUAUUGGACAAUGGGCGCAAGCCUGAUCCAGCCAUACCGCGUGGGUGAAGAAGGCCUUCGGGUUGUAAAGCCCUUUUGUUGGGAAAGAAAAGCAGCAGGUUAAUACCCCGCUGUUCUGACGGUACCCAAAGAAUAAGCACCGGCUAACUUCGUG
rnacentral:rRNA from 1 species